GACGAACGCUGGCGGCGUGCUUAACACAUGCAAGUCGAACGGAAAGGCCCUGCUUUUGUGGGGUGCUCGAGUGGCGAACGGGUGAGUAACACGUGAGUAACCUGCCCUUGACUUUGGGAUAACUUCAGGAAACUGGGGCUAAUACCGGAUAGGAGCUCCUGCUGCAUGGUGGGGGUGGGAAAGUUUCGGCGGUUGGGGAUGGACUCGCGGCUUAUCAGCUUGUUGGUGGGGUAGUGGCUUACCAAGGCUUUGACGGGUAGCCGGCCUGAGAGGGUGACCGGGCACAUUGGGACUGCGAUACGGCCCAGACUCCUACGGGAGGCAGCAGUGGGGAAUAUUGCACAAUGGGCGGAAGCCUGAUGCAGCAACGCCGCGUGCGGGAUGACGGCCUUCGGGUUGUAAACCGCUUUCGCCUGUGACGAAGCGUGAGUGACGGUAAUGGGUAAAGAAGCACCGGCUAACUACGUG
rnacentral:rRNA from 1 species